rnacentral:rRNA from 1 species
AGAGUUUGAUCCUGGCUCAGGAUGAACGCUGGCGGCGUGCCUAACACAUGCAAGUCGAACGAAGUCUUCGGACUUAGUGGCGGACGGGUGAGUAACGCGUGAGAACCUGCCUCGAGGAGGGGGAUAACAGCGGGAAACUGCUGCUAAUACCCCAUAUGCCGAAAGGUGAAAAGAAAUUUGCCUUGAGAGGGGCUCGCGUCCGAUUAGCUAGUUGGUGAGGUAAGAGCUUACCAAGGCGACGAUCGGUAGCUGGUCUGAGAGGAUGAGCAGCCACACUGGGACUGAGACACGGCCCAGACUCCUACGGGAGGCAGCAGUGGGGAAUUUUCCGCAAUGGGCGAAAGCCUGACGGAGCAACGCCGCGUGGGGGAAGAAGGCCUUUGGGUUGUAAACUCCUUUUCUCAGGGAAGAAGAACUGACGGUACCUGAGGAAUCAGCCUCGGCUAACUCCGUGCCAGCAGCCGCGGUAAUACGGAGGAGGCAAGCGUUAUCCGGAAUUAUUGGGCGUAAAGCGUUCGUAGGCGGCGUUUCAAGUCUGCUGUCAAAGGCCGAGGCUCAACUUCGGAAAGGCAGUGGAAACUGAAAAGCUAGAGGUCGGUAGGGGCAGAGGGAAUUCCCAGUGUAGCGGUGAAAUGCGUAGAUAUUGGGAAGAACACCGGUGGCGAAAGCGCUCUGCUGGGCCGAACCUGACGCUGAGGGACGAAAGCUAGGGGAGCGAAUGGGAUUAGAUACCCCAGUAGUCCUAGCCGUAAACGAUGGAGACUAGGUGUUGCCUGUAUCGACCCGGGCAGUGCCGAAGCCAACGCGUUAAGUCUCCCGCCUGGGGAGUACGCACGCAAGUGUGAAACUCAAAGGAAUUGACGGGGGCCCGCACAAGCGGUGGAGUAUGUGGUUUAAUUCGAUGCAACGCGAAGAACCUUACCAGGGCUUUGACAUCCCCCCGAAUCUCGGCCGAAGUUUGAGAGUGCCUACCGGGAACCCCGGAGACAGGUGGUUGCAUUGCUUGUCGUCAACCCCGUGUCCUUGAGAUGUUGGGGUUAAAUCCCCGAAACGAGCGCCAACCCUUCGUCCUUACGUUGCCAUCCUUAAAAUGGGGGCAUUCUUAGGGUAACUUGCCGUGUAAUAAAUCCGGAAGGAAAGUGUGGGGAUGGACGUCAAAGUACUACAUGUCCACAAUAAUUCCUUGUGGUGAUAACCUUUCCUCAUAUGUGUCCUGGGAUAGGUGGUAAUCC